rnacentral:rRNA from 1 species
CUUCUUCUGUCAGUACGUCCCAGCUAGCAGGUAUUAACUACUAACCUUUCCUCCUGACUGAAAGUGCUUUACAACCCGAAGGCCUUCUUCACACACGCGGCAUGGCUGCAUCAGGCUUGCGCCCAUUGUGCAAUAUUCCCCACUGCUGCCUCCCGUAGGAGUCUGGGCCGUGUCUCAGUCCCAGUGUGGCUGAUCAUCCUCUCAAACCAGCUAGGGAUCGUCGCCUUGGUGAGCCAUUACCUCACCAACUAGCUAAUCCCACUUGGGCCAAUCUAAAGGCGAGAGCCGAAGCCCCCUUUGGUCCGUAGACAUUAUGCGGUAUUAGCAGUCGUUUCCAACUGUUGUCCCCCACCUCAAGGCAUGUUCCCAAGCAUUACUCACCCGUCCGCCGCUCGUCAGCAAAGUAGCAAGCUACUUUCUGUUACCGCUCGACUUGCAUGUGUUAGACCUGCCGCCAGCGUUCAAUCUGAGCCAUGAUCAAACUCU